UCUCUAAGCAUCGGUAAAAUCUCAUCACCGAUCUUUCCUUCUAAACCUGCUCUUCCGACCGAGCAACACCAUCUAUCAAUACCUUCUUUCCGACUGUAAUACCCCUACUGAAAGAUAACAUCGAGAGCAAUUGAGUGAUUUUUUCUCUCUAGAAGUGGAAACCUUACCAACUCAAAGCUCAUGGGAAUACCGCCUCUCUUGUAGGCCAUGUCUCUCUUUUUUUUUUUGGAGACGUAUCUCUAUCUUUGGAGAUUCAUUCCUAUAACUCCCAAAGAGGUG
rnacentral:lncRNA from 1 species